AACGAACGCUGGCGGCAUGCCUAACACAUGCAAGUCGAACGAACCCUCCGGGAUCUUUGGCCCACGGCUGCGUCACGCGAGGGAAUCUUCCCUUUGCUUUGGAAUAACUCAGGGACACUUGUGCUAAUACCAGAUGAUGUCUUAGGACCAAUGAUUUAUCGGACAGGGUUGAGCACGCGUAGGAGUAGGUAGUUGGUGGGGUAAGGGCCUACCAAGCCGACGAUCCUUAGCUGGUCAGAGAGGAUGAUCAGCCACACUGGGACUGAGACACGGCCCAGACUCCUACGGGAGGCGGCAGUGGGGAAUAGUGGACAAUGGGCGCAAGCCUGAUCCAGCAAUGCCGCGUGAGUGAUGAAGGCCCUCGGGUCGUAAAGCUCUUUUACCAGGGAAGAUAAUGACAGUACCUGAAGAAUAAGCUCCGGCUAACUCCGUG
rnacentral:rRNA from 1 species